rnacentral:rRNA from 1 species
UACGAAGGGGGCUAGCGUUGCUCGGAAUCACUGGGCGUAAAGGGUGCGUAGGCGGGGCUUUAAGUCAGGGGUGAAAUCCUGGAGCUCAACUCCAGAACUGCCUUUGAUACUGAGGAUCUUGAGUUCGGGAGAGGUGAGUGGAACUGCGAGUGUAGAGGUGAAAUUCGUAGAUAUUAGCUAGAACACCAGUGGCGAAGGCGGCCAACUGGUCCGGAACUGACGCUGAGGUGUGAAAGCGUGGGGAGCAAACAGG